rnacentral:misc_RNA from 1 species
CAACCCUCAAGCACGGCUUGGUGUUGGGGACCGGCUGCCCCCGGGGCGGCGCCAGCCUAAGCCUGGCGUCCGCUCCCUGCCGCCCCCGAAAUGAAUUGGCGGUCUCGCCGCGGUCUCCCCUGCGCAGUAGCACAGCACACCUCGCAACGGGAGCGCGGCGCGGCCACGGCCGUAAAACGCCCAACUUUUCUCAAG